GCUGGGGCGUACGCGUUGGCCCGAACUACACCACUAGGUGCAAGCGGGCCACCGAGGAAAGUCCGGACUCCACACAGCACGGUGGUUGCUAACGGCAACCCGGGGUAACCCGCGGGAAAGUGCAACAGAAAGCAGACCGCCUCCCUUUCGCGGUAGGUGAGGGUGAAAGGGUGCGGUAAGAGCGCACCGGCAUGCCAGGUGACUGGUGUGGCCAGGUAAACCCCACCGGGAGCAAGGCAACGAGGUGCACCACUGGUGCGCCGGGAGCGGACGUUAACGGCAGCUGGCCUAAGUCCGCAGGUAGCUGCUUGAGCCACCAAGCGAUUGGUGGCCUAGAUGGAUGUCGCCCCAACCCACCUCAGGUGGGUGGACAGAAUCCGGCUUAUAGGC
rnacentral:RNase_P_RNA from 1 species